rnacentral:rRNA from 1 species
UUAUUUGAAUUAUUUAUUUAAUUUAUUAAAUUUUUAUAUAAAUAAUUAUAAUUUUUUUGUAUAUAUUAAAUUAAUUUUAUUAUUAAAUAAAAUAUUAAUUAAAUUUUUUUUGUUAUAGUAUUUAAAAUUGAAAUGAUUAAUUUAAAUAAUAUUGAAAGUAAUGAAAAUGAAUUUUAAUAGAAAAUUUAAAAGUAAUUUUAAUUGAAUGUACCUUUUGUAUCAGGGAUAAUUAAAAUUAAAAAUUUAAAUAAAAUUAAUCUCGAAUUUAAAAGAUUUAAUUAAAAAUUUUAAGUUUAUGUUAAAUUAUAAUUAUUAAUUUUUAAUUAGAAGUGAAAUAUUAAUCAAUUUUAAAUAUAUCUAGUUUUUUUAAAAUUGAAUUAAAUUCAGCUUUAAAAUUUUAUAUAAAUUAAUUUAAUUUUAUUAUAUAAAAAAUUUAUUUUAAAGUAAAUGUAAUCGGGAUAAAUUGAUUAUAUUAAUUUAUAAAUUAAUUUUAUUUGAUAAAUAAUAUAAAUAAUAUUAAAAUUAUAUAUUUUUAAAAAUAAUGUUUUAAUUUAUAUUUUAAAUUUAAAAAAAAAUUAAAAAAUUUUUGAUUUUAAUAAUUUAUAAAAAUUUAUUAUUUAAUAUUUAUUUAUUAAAAAUAAUGAUUAUAUUAGUAAAAUUAUUAUUGUUGUUUAAUUAUUUAUUAAAUGAAUAAAUAAAUUUAAGGAAUUAGGCAAAAAUUUUAAUAUUUAUAAAAUUUAUAUUUACCUGUUUAUCAAAAACAUGGCUUAUUGAUUUAAAUAAUAAGUUUGUUCUGCCCAUUGAAUUUAUAAUUUAAAAGGCUGCAGUAUAAUGACUGUACAAAGGUAGCAAAAUCAAUAGUUUUUUAAUUGAAAACUGGAAUGAAUGAAUUAAUAAAAUAUAAACUGUCUCAAAUUUAAUAUAUUAUUGAAUUUAAAAUAAAAGUUAAAAUGCUUUUAUAAAUUUAUUAGACGAUAAGACCCUAAGAAUUUAAUUUAUUUAAUUUAAUAAGAAAUUUUAUAAUUAUAUUAUAUAUUAUAUAUAUAUAUUAAAUUAAAUAAAUUUUAUUGGGAGGGUAAUUAAAUUUUUAAACUUUAAUUAUUAAAUUACAUAGAUAAAUGAUUUUAAAUGAUAAUAAUAAUAAUUAUAAGAAUAAAUUACCUUAGGGAUAACAGCGUAAUAAUUUUGGAAAGUUCAUAUUUAUAAAAUUGAUUGCGACCUCGAUGUUGAAUUAAAAUAAAAAUUAAGUGAAGAAACUUAAAAUUUUAGUCUGUUCGACUAUUAAAAUUUUACAUGAUUUGAGUUCAGAUCGGUGUAAGCCAGAUCGGAUUUUAUCUAUAAUUUUUUUAUAUAUUUUAUUGUACGAAAGGACUUAAAAUAUAAAAAAUUUUUUUAAUUAAAUUUGAUUAUAAUUAAUUUGUAUUAUUUUAUUUAUAAAAUUUUUUAUAUUUUAAUGUUUUUUAAGA